AUGUCCAUCUUUCGCUUCAUUCUCCCAAGAAUAGAAAGAAGUAGAGGCUGGAGAUGCUUUGCUACUGGAAUCCCUUCUGAUUCUAUAGCGGAGCUCAAUAAGGAAAUGGAAUCGAUAUUUGGCGAAUCUCCUUCAGCCAGCCCUUUGGGCUCAAAUCCUCCUCAGCAAGCAGUCCAUCCCACUCCUGCAGCCCGGGAGACACAACCGGGUCUUACCCAUGUUGAUUGCAGUGGCCAGGCAAAGAUGGUUGAUGUCUCACCCAAACAUGACAGUCAGAGAGUAGCUAUAGCCAGCUGCAGGGUCUUGCUAGGCCAGAAGGCAUUUAACUUGGUGGCGUCAAACCAGAUUGCCAAAGGCGAUGUACUUACUGUUGCAAAGAUAGCUGGAAUAACUGGUGCGAAGCAAACUAGUAACCUCAUACCCCUGUGCCACAACAUUAAUCUCUCCCAUGUUCGUGUUGAUCUCACUCUCAAUGAAGAGGACUCUAGUGUUGUCAUAGAAGGGGAAGCCACCACUUGCGGGAAGACAGGGGUUGAAAUGGAAGCAAUGGCUGCAGUGACCAUUGCCGGACUGACGGUUUAUGACAUGUGCAAAGCAGCUUCAAAGGACAUAUGUAUAACAGAUAUCUGUCUCCAGCACAAAUCGGGGGGAAAGAGUGGAAACUGGUCCAGGAAUUAG
rnacentral:rRNA from 1 species